CUUUUUUUUUCUUAAUUGACAUUCAGAUCACUGUAAGACACUGGAAAGGUGGUAAUAGCAGAUGGUCAGUGGGCGAUGUGUGAUGGGAAUCUGAAAAACUUUUGCCACUCCACUGAAGGAUAAGGGCAGAGCAAUGAUCAGCAAGGUGUAAGGCAACUGGAUAUUGACACAAAAAUCCUCCACAGAGAAAGCACAAAAGGAUGCCACCCCCACACUCUACUAGCAAGCUAUGCUGAACUAGCAGGUGUUUCUCCUAACGACCACAGAGCAGCUGACCCCCUCCAGGUAGCUCAUAAGAGAGGAAAGGAGAGCAGACCAGACCACCUCCACAUGGGAAAGCAAGCAGGAGUGCAGCAGCUUUAGGUGAUAACAGACUCCCUUCUAGCCCUGAAUUGAACUAUAUCUGCCCUGCUCACAUGCCAGCUCUCCCUGAAAUAUGGGAGUUAUAGACCCACAUUUCAAUGCCUGCCUAGCAGACAUCAUGGAGGAUAUGUGCACUUUAAGGAUGGAGAUCUCCUUGCUGAUAUCUCUGAAGGCAGAUCUGUGGAAGCAACUUCCAAGUAAAAUGAAAGACUGUAGAAGACCAACACUGGAAGCUUUUUUGUUUUAUCCCGUGUAUCUGUUUUCUUCAUGACAAUGCAAUGUGUCUGUGUCAAGUCUAUAAAAUAAGAUACCUCUUUUCCAGAAAUGAAUAA